UGUUUCUAUUGUGGUGGUGCUCAGGGGGGACACAGCUGUUGUUAAUGUUGAUGGAGCUGUUGUAGAUUCUAUAUCAGUGGUAGAAGGAUAUUGAGUGGAUGGUGUCUGCUGGUUUGUUGUUUGUUCUACACUAGAUGAUGUUAUCUCUGUUGUAGAUGAAGAAAAUUCUGAUGAUGUGUGUCCUUCUGUUGUAGACGAUGGUGAAGAUGGAGUAGAAUCUGUUGUGGAUGUUGUUGUUCCCAGUGUUGAACCACUUUCACUUGUAGAUGAUUCUAUUGUGCUUGUGCUCACAGGAGAUACAGCUGUUGUAAAUGUUGAUGGAACUGUUGGUGUAGAUUCUAUUUCAGUAGUAGAACUAUAUUGAGUGGAUGGUGUCUGCUGGUUUGUUGUUUGUUCUACACUAGAUGAGGAUAUCUCUGUUGUAGAUGAAGUGAAUUCUGAUGAUGUCUGUCCUUCUGUUGUAGACGAUGGUGAAGAUGGAGUAGAAUCUGUUGGAAAUGAUGUUGUUCCUAGUGUUGAACCACUUUCAAUUGUAGAUGAUUCUAUUGUGGUUUUGCUCACAGGAGAUACAGCUGUUGUAAUUGUUGAUGGAGCUGUUGGUGUAGAUUCUAUUUCAGUGGUUGAGAUAUAUUGAGUGGAUGGUGUCUGCUGGCUUGUUGUUUUUUCUACACUAGAUGAGGAUAUCUCUGUUGUAGAUGAAGUGAAUUCUGAUGUUGUCUUUCCUUCUGUUGUAGACGAUGGUGAAGAUGGAGUAGAAUCUGUUGUGGAUGUUGUUGUUCCCAGUGUUGAACCACUUUCACUUGUAGAUGAUUCUAUUGUGGUUGAGCUCACAUGAGAUACAGCUGUUGUAAAUGUUGAUGGAGCUGUUGUUGUAGAUUCUAUUUCAGUGGUUGACGCAUAUUGAGUGGAUGGUGUCUGAUGAUUUGUUGUUUGUUCUAAACUAGAUGAUGAUAUCUCUGUUGUAGAUGAAGUGAAUUCUGAUGAUGUCUGUCCUUCUGUUGAAGAUGGAGUAGAAUCUGUUGUCGAUGUUGUGGUUCCCAGUGUUGAACCACUUUCACUUGUAGAUGAUUCUAUU
ensembl:lncRNA